GAUGAACGCUGGCGGCGUGCCUAAUACAUGCAAGUCGAGCGAACGGACGAGAAGCUUGCUUCUCUGAUGUUAGCGGCGGACGGGUGAGUAACACGUGGAUAACCUACCUAUAAGACUGGGAUAACUUCGGGAAACCGGAGCUAAUACCGGAUAAUAUUUUGAACCGCAUGGUUCAAAAGUGAAAGACGGUCUUGCUGUCACUUAUAGAUGGAUCCGCGCUGCAUUAGCUAGUUGGUAAGGUAGCGGCUUACCAAGGCAACGAUGCAUAGCCGACCUGAGAGGGUGAUCGGCCACACUGGAACUGAGACACGGUCCAGACUCCUACGGGAGGCAGCAGUAGGGAAUCUUCCGCAAUGGGCGAAAGCCUGACGGAGCAACGCCGCGUGAGUGAUGAAGGUCUUCGGAUCGUAAAACUCUGUUAUUAGGGAAGAACAUAUGUGUAAGUAACUGUGCACAUCUUGACGGUACCUAAUCAGAAAGCCACGGCUAACUACGUGCCAGCAGCCGCGGUAAUACGUAGGUGGCAAGCGUUAUCCGGAAUUAUUGGGCGUAAAGCGCGCGUAGGCGGUUUUUUAAGUCUGAUGUGAAAGCCCACGGCUCAACCGUGGAGGGUCAUUGGAAACUGGAAAACUUGAGUGCAGAAGAGGAAAGUGGAAUUCCAUGUGUAGCGGUGAAAUGCGCAGAGAUAUGGAGGAACACCAGUGGCGAAGGCGACUUUCUGGUCUGUAACUGACGCUGAUGUGCGAAAGCGUGGGGAUCAAACAGGAUUAGAUACCCUGGUAGUCCACGCCGUAAACGAUGAGUGCUAAGUGUUAGGGGGUUUCCGCCCCUUAGUGCUGCAGCUAACGCAUUAAGCACUCCGCCUGGGGAGUACGACCGCAAGGUUGAAACUCAAAGGAAUUGACGGGGACCCGCACAAGCGGUGGAGCAUGUGGUUUAAUUCGAAGCAACGCGAAGAACCUUACCAAAUCUUGACAUCCUUUGACAACUCUAGAGAUAGAGCCUUCCCCUUCGGGGGACAAAGUGACAGGUGGUGCAUGGUUGUCGUCAGCUCGUGUCGUGAGAUGUUGGGUUAAGUCCCGCAACGAGCGCAACCCUUAAGCUUAGUUGCCAUCAUUAAGUUGGGCACUCUAAGUUGACUGCCGGUGACAAACCGGAGGAAGGUGGGGAUGACGUCAAAUCAUCAUGCCCCUUAUGAUUUGGGCUACACACGUGCUACAAUGGACAAUACAAAGGGCAGCGAAACCGCGAGGUCAAGCAAAUCCCAUAAAGUUGUUCUCAGUUCGGAUUGUAGUCUGCAACUCGACUACAUGAAGCUGGAAUCGCUAGUAAUCGUAGAUCAGCAUGCUACGGUGAAUACGUUCCCGGGUCU
rnacentral:rRNA from 1 species